rnacentral:rRNA from 1 species
GAUGAACGCUGGCGGCGUGCCUAAUACAUGCAAGUAGAACGCUGAAGGAGGAGCUUGCUCUUCUGGAUGAGUUGCGAACGGGUGAGUAACGCGUAGGUAACCUGCCUGGUAGCGGGGGAUAACUAUUGGAAACGAUAGCUAAUACCGCAUGACAACAGUUAUUGCAUGAUAACUGUUUAAAAGUGGCAACUGCUCCACUACCAGAUGGACCUGCGUUGUAUUAGCUAGUUGGUGAGGUAACGGCUCACCAAGGCGACGAUACAUAGCCGACCUGAGAGGGUGAUCGGCCACACUGGGACUGAGACACGGCCCAGACUCCUACGGGAGGCAGCAGUAGGGAAUCUUCGGCAAUAGACGGAAGUCUGACCGAGCAACGCCGCGUGAGUGAAGAAGGUUUUCGGAUCGUAAAGCUCUGUUGUAAGAGAAGAACGAGUGUGAGAGUGGAAAGUUCACACUGUGACGGUAUCUUACCAGAAAGGGACGGCUAACUACGUG